AAAAGCAUUAAGUGAAACAGACGGAGAGUACAGAUUUUAGAUCUAACUCUUCUUCUUCACCUGUACAUUUUUUCAAACAAAAGCAACAAUAGCAUAACCUCAUCCAUCAUCUUAACAUGGUAACAACAAGAACGUACCGAAAUCAGAGCUUUCGUGAAGGGCGAAGAAGAAUGCUCACGCGGUGGAGGUUCUGUGUAUGGCCGGAAUUCCUCGGAUCCGUGGGUGAAGAAGCGGUUGAUGCGUUGUCGAUGCCAGAGAGGGACGCGUCGGUGAUGUCGCGUCUGUCUCGAAGUUGGAUCUGAAUCGGUGUUGUUGUUGUUGUUCUUUGCUGAAACUGAGUUUGACAGCGUCGGUUUCGAUUCAACCCCAACUUCUACUCCUUCCCUUUUUCUUUGUUAUUCUCCUUCGAAUUCCAUUGUUGGUUCUUUCUCUUGUGCUUAUAUUUCUUUGUUGUACCUGAGAAUCAAUAGACCAAAAAUUGCGGGUUCAAUGAUGUUGAAGAUUGUGUUGUUUGCCGUUGAUGUGUUAUGAUGAUACUGACGUACUGGUUGCGGAUCGGUGUGAUUUGGGGACAUCUUUGCCUCUGACUGAAGCCCGACGGCGGCUCUUGGCUUGACCCAUCAGCAAGAACUUUUGAGACGGUGUAGUGGUUUUCGAUUUCCUCUUGUCUUGUAUCCCUUUGAGCCUUCUAAGAACAACCUGCACUUACUUGAAACAAACACAGAAAGAGUGCCAAAAGAAUUAUAGGAUUAACGGCGAUUCAAUCCUUAUAGUUUUCUCUGUUAUUUCAAUAUGCAAUUGUUGUUGGAA